rnacentral:rRNA from 1 species
AUACGGAGGGUGCAAGCGUUACUCGGAAUUACUGGGCGUAAAGGACGCGUAGGCGGUGUAGAAAGUCAGAUGUGAAAGCCUAUGGCUUAACCAUAGAACUGCAUUUGAAACUUCUAAACUAGAGUGGGGGAGAGGUCAGUGGAAUUAGUGGUGUAGGGGUAAAAUCCGUAGAGAUCACUAGGAAUACUCAUUGCGAAGGCGACUGACUGGAACUUAACUGACGCUGAGGCGUGAAAGCGUGGGGAGCAAACAGGAUUAGAAACCCCAGUAGUCC